UGCGAGGUGGAGCAGUCUGGCAGCUCGUCGGGCUCAUAACCCGAAGGUCGGGGGUUCAAAUCCCUCCCUCGCUACCA
rnacentral:tRNA from 2 species